rnacentral:tRNA from 1 species
GGGCCCAUAGAUCAGUGGUAGAUCGCUUCCUUCGCAAGGAAGAGGCCCCGGGUUCAAAUCCCGGUGGGUCCA